GACGGAAGGUGCAAGCGUUGCUCGGAAUCACUGGGCGUAAAGGGUGCGUAGGCGGCUUGGUAAGUUGGGUGUGAAAGCCCCGGGCUCAGCCCGGGAAGGGCACUCGAAACUGCCGAGCUGGAGUGCCGGAGGGGAGAGUGGAAUUCCUGGUGUAGCGGUGAAAUGCGCAGAUAUCGGGAGGAACACCUAUGGCGAAGGCAGCUCGCUGGGACGUUACUGACGCUGAGACGCGAAAGCGUGGGGAGCAAACAGG
rnacentral:rRNA from 1 species